rnacentral:misc_RNA from 1 species
UAGAUCCUGUUGGCACGUCCCAA